GGGGGAGAGACCGAACAGCACAUGGAGGAGGAGGAGAAGAUAAAAUUCAAGUGAUUCCAUGGUCAUCCAAGCUUCAAAUCAAGGACCUUGGAACAUCCAAGGGGAUGUCUUUUUUAUGUCAACCGAAGGCUCAAACACUUGGAAGGUUAGGGAAAGCAAACGGAAAGCAAGAGGGAAGCUAUGUUACAAGGUAUAAAGGGCAUGGAGGAAAAGUCAAGGA